GGCUCCUUAGCUCAGUUGGUUAGAGCGGUGGAAUCAUAAUCCAUGUGUCCCCAGUUCGAAUCUGGGAGGAGCCACCA
rnacentral:tRNA from 1 species